rnacentral:rRNA from 1 species
UACGGAGGGUGCAAGCGUUAUCCGGAUUCACUGGGUUUAAAGGGUGCGUAGGUGGCUUUGUAAGUCAGUGGUGAAAUGCCGCAGCUCAACUGCGGAACUGCCAUUGAUACUGCUUAGCUUGAAUCACGUCGAGGUGGAUGGAAUAUUACAUGUAGCGGUGAAAUGCUUAGAUAUGUAAUAGAACACCGAUUGCGAAGGCAGUUCACUAGGCGUGUAUUGACACUGAGGCACGAAAAGCGUGGGGAUCAAACAGG